UUAGAAAAAUCGACUUUAUCUGGGUGAAUAGAGAUUAUUCCAGUUUAGACUGGUUUUUGACUCUUCUCAUACAAUUAGAGAAAAAUGAUCUGUCUGGAUUCCUUACUGUUCAUCUUUAUGUGACGUCUGCUCCGAUCUGCGAUCAGAUUGAUACACUAACCCUACGCCUGGCCCUGGAUAGCUUCUAUCUAAGCCAUGAGCAGGAUGCACUGACUGGGUUAAAAUCCUACUGUAUUCCUGGUCGGCCUCAUUGGCAUACUCUACUAGAAU